ACGAACGCUGGCGGCGUGCUUAACACCUGCAGGUCGAACGGAAAGGCCCUGCUUUUGUGGGGUGCUCGAGUGGCGAACGGGUGAGUAACACGUGAGUAACCUGCCCUUGACUUUGGGAUAAUUUCAGGAAACUGGGGCUAAUACCGGAUAGGAGCUCCUGCUGCAUGGUGGGGGUUGGAAAGUUUCGGCGGUUGGGGAUGGACUCGCGGCUUAUCAGCUUGUUGGUGGGGUAGUGGCUUACCAAGGCUUUGACGGGUAGCCGGCCUGAGAGGGUGACCGGCCACAUUGGGACUGAGAUACGGCCCAGACUCCUACGGGAGGCAGCAGUGGGGAAUAUUGCACAAUGGGCGGAAGCCUGAUGCAGCAACGCCGCGUGCGGGAUGACGGCCUUCGGGUUGUAAACCGCUUUCGCCUGUGACGAAGCGUGAGUGACGGUAAUGGGUAAAGAAGCACCGGCUAACUACGUG
rnacentral:rRNA from 1 species